AUGACGUCAUAUGUGUAUUAGCCGCCCAAUACAAAAAAAAAAGAUCAAGUGUAGUAUCUGUUCUUCUCAGUUUAAUACCUGGGACGGAAACGAUUCGUUUCCUCUAUGUAUUAAUCGGAUUUUUGAACUUGGAGUAUGGUGCUGGAGCUUGCUCCACC
rnacentral:snRNA from 1 species